rnacentral:lncRNA from 1 species
GAACAGUGUCCUCUACAAGAUGACACCUGAGACUGCCGUGGUGCCUGCUUGUGGUCACUUCUGGGCUGGGCCUGGAGCGGGCAGGGGUUGAGGACCCCAAAGGCCUCCUUGGCUGGGAGGAAUGUCAAGGCCUGGCCCCUCCUCCAUCACACUGGAGGAACACAGAGGACAGGGAUGGCUUCUCCCAGGGCGUGCAGGACUCUGUCCCCGAGCUGAGUACUGAAGACCGUUUGCUGCCUGGGAAAGAGGAGACAGCUGCUUCCAGCCACAGAGAGCCGGGUAGGUCACGGUUACUCAGUUGCCGAAU